UUGUUGCCUAUGAUGGUUUAUAAAUAUACUUUAAGUAUAUACAAACAAAAUAAUGUAAUCUGAGGCAAAGU